GGAGAGGUGGCCGAGUGGUUUAAGGCGCGCGCUUGGAAAGCGCGUGGGAGCAAUCCCUCGCAGGUUCGAAUCCUGUCCUCUCCGCCA
rnacentral:tRNA from 1 species